CUUUUUUUUUUUUUCCUUUUUCUGGAGAACGGGGUCUCGCUAUAUUGCCCAGGCAGGUCUCGAACUCCUGGGCUCAAGCUAUCCUCCCGCCUCUUAGCCUCCCUGAGAGCUGGGAUUACAGGCGUGAGCCACCGCACUUGGCCCUUUUCUUCUAUUUGAAUUUAUGAAAAGUUGUAGAUGUCAACUUGAAAAUGUACAAGGAGGUACAGAGUUGGUUUUUGUUUUUUGGUUUUUUUAGAGAGGGUCUUGCUCUGUCACCCAGGCUGGAGUACAGCAGUGCAAUCACACCUCACUGCAGCCUUCAUCUCCCAGGCUCAAGUGAUCCUCCUGCUUUGGUCUCCUGAGUAGCUAGGACUACAGGCAUGCACCAC
rnacentral:lncRNA from 1 species